rnacentral:rRNA from 1 species
AUACGUAUGUCGCAAGCGUUAUCCGGAAUUAUUGGGCGUAAAGCGAGUCUAGGCGGCUUGUUAAGUCAGAUGUGAAAAUGCGGGGCUCAACUCCGUAUUGCGUUUGAAACUGGCAGGCUAGAGUACUGGAGAGGUGGGCGGAACUACAAGUGUAGAGGUGAAAUUCGUAGAUAUUCGUAGGAAUGCCGAUAGUGAAGACAGCUCACUGGACAGAUACUGACGCUAAAGCUCGAAAGCGUGGGGAGCGAACAGGAUUAGAGACCCUAGUAGUCC